CUCGAUGACGCUGUAGCUCUCCACGUAAUCGACGUGUUCGUCCUGCGGCUCGCUGGCGAUCUGCCGCAGCGUGGCCUUGUCCACGCUGCCCACUCCGAUGGCGAACAGCUCGACGCCGCUGGCCCGGGCCCGCGCAGACACGUCCUGCACGCUGUCCUGGGGCCUCCCGUCUGUCACCACGAUGACCACCUGCGACACGCGGGGCGGUGUGACACCGGGCUCCCGGAAGCCCACGGGACUGUCCAGGAGAGGAGGCUGAGGCCCGGAGAGGCGGGAGGACUGCCGGGUCGCACAGCCAGGCGGCACCCGGGGGAAGAGGACCCGGCUGGCCGAAGAGGAGACCCGUUUCCUCUGACUGAGAGACGUGGCUGGGGGGCUUUCCAUCUGCUUCGCCUCCCUCGGGCAGGCAGCUCUGAGAUGCCCGGAGGGAUGUGAUGCCCCAUCGCCAAAUUGGGGUCUCUAAGGUCAGGGCCAUGCCUUCCCCUCAGACUGAGGCGGCUGAGGGCAGGGUCCUCAGGCUGAUGGCUGUGGGAGUCGUGCCACGCCCCUCGUGCCCCCGGGAGGCCCGGCCGGGGCUGGGUGGGGGGAUCCGGUGGUUCCACAUGGUGCAGUUCUGCGCUUUGGCCACCAGAUGGCAGCCGAAGCUAAGGGAUGGGGCUGCCGUCUCCCGUCUUGCUGUCCUUGUCCCGGUAAGACCGGGGACCCUGGACCAGGGAACCGACGGAGGGCCACUCCCAUGUGGAUGCCCAAGGGACCAACCCAAGAAAGAUGCCGCCCUUAUCCUCCUCCACUCCCCGGUAUGAUACAUGCCCCUGCCAGAGAGGGAAAGAAUCUGCCUGCUCCCCUCCCACUAGGCUCCUCUGGUCUGUACCCUGGAAAGAAAGAGGUGGCGGACUCUGUCACUGAGAUCCGGCUUCGUGACCCCCUGUCUGCACCCGCCCUGAGGCUAGGGCGCUCCCAGCUCUGCCCAGUCUGGGUUAGGCAUCCAGUCCCGCUUUGCUGCUUCUCUGCUUCUGACUUGGGUCUGUUUCUGAUUCCUGGGUCCCAUCCUUAGCCCCAGGUCCUGACACCCUGUCCUGAUGACAGGCAGUUGAGACAGGCCGUGUUUAGAAAUGCAGCUCCACAAGCUACAGGUCACCUUCCUGAGCCUCAGUGUCUUCAACUGUAAAAAGGGUUGUGGUGAGGUUGAGUGAGAUGACUCCUGGUUAGAAGCCAGAAGGGGCAACUAUUAUUUUUACCAUCAUUACCCUGGGCUACCUGGGGAGUGACUUUGUACAAUCUCUUCCUCUCCAGGGGCCUGGGCUCCUGGCUCUGAAAAUCUAGCUGUGACUAUUCGCUGCCAUCCCGAGGCCCACUGCCUCCUCGAGUCCCUACUCCCCUCCCUGCAACCCAGCUUUCAGAUUGUCCACCUUGCUGGGUCCUCCCACAGGUGAACUCCAGGCUGAACACCUGGAGUCUGGUGCCAGCUCCCCCAGCGCCGCUGUGUCACCUGCUGGAGGAGCUCUCUCCUCACUUGCCCACCCCACGCCACCACCCCCAUCUCCUUCACCCUCUCCACCACCUCAACCAUCAGCUUCAUCUACAGCACCCCGUGCUGAAACUUGUAGUUGGCCCCAAGACCGACAGGCUGCCUGAUACGUCAUUUCUCUAAGGGGUGGUAAUGGCUGGGAUUAUAUGCUGUUGUCUCUGUGAAUGCUUUUCCCACUUAUUGGCUGAGCAAGUUGCUUAAGCUUCUUAUGCCUCAGUUUCACCAUCUGUAAAAUGGGGAUACCACCUCCGAGCAGAAUCAUGUUCAUUUAUCCACUGUGUGCUAGAGAGUGGGGUAUGGAGGAGGGAUAAGAAAGAACCUCCCCUGAGCUGGGGCCCUGAGCAGGGAAGUGGCGACUCGGGCUAACGAAGGCUGCAGUGGGGAAGUGCUGGAGCCUGUGGGGGUGCCACAGGAACAGAGGACACCUGGCUUAGCCUCAGGUUCUGUGCUGAGCCCUGAACAUGACAGUGAGGAUACAAGUCCUGGGAAACGCUCAGCCCUCUGCCUGGAGCCCUCACUGACAGCACAGGUGGCAGCACAGCCCUUCCAUUUCUGAGCCCCUGCCCUCGGAGAAUUAUGAAAUUAAAAAUUAUCAAAUGCCAUGAUGGGAAGCCUUAUGCUUUUGAACUCAGUCCUCAGCAGCACUUGGAGAAGGUGUUAUCAUUACUCCCAUUUUACAGGUGAGGAAACCGAGCACCAGUGACAUGACGUCACUUGCUCGGGGUGGCACAGCUAGUAUGGUGGAGCAGGGCGUGAACCCAGGCAGGCUGGUGGCGGAGGCCACACCUUCACUCCUCCCAUAAGCAUCUGGCCUGUCUGCAAUGUCUUCAAGGGGCUCAGACUGGUCGGGAACCAAGGUCAACUAAACUGAAAUGAUUCUAUGAAAUGGCCACCUCACGGGGCAUCAUGGGAAUCAAAGUGUCUGCAGGCAAAGCUCAUAACUCCGAGCGGGAGCCUCCAAACAGCAGCAUCCUAGCAGGGUGGCGUGCACGUACCUUGCUGAUGUCAGGGGACCUGGAACGACCACCCUCUGCAUCGCCGAAGGCUUUGGUGAUAGCGAACUGGAUGGCCAGGCCGGUCAUGGUGCCUGUGGACAGCGGCUGGAUACGGCGCACAGCCUGCAGCAGUGCGGCCUUGGAGACAUGAGCCCGCAGCGAGAACUCCUGCUUCACGGUGCUGGCAUAGUUGACCAUGCCCACCCGGGUGGCAUUGGGCCCCACGUCCAGCGACUCGAUGACCUGGGACAGGAAUACCUUCACUUUCUCAAAUUCAACAGGCCGAACGCUGCGAGAGCUGUCGACAACAAACACCAGGUCUGUGGGCCGCGUCCGGCAGAGAUGGCCUGGGAGUGGGGCAGGAGGGGUAAGGCAGAGAGCAGAGACACAGGUCAGGGACUGGGCCUGAACACACAGAGUGCGGCUUCUUAGAUCCAGGUGCGAGGCCUCGGGCCCAGUAGGCUGCAAACUUCAGCUGGGCAGCUGAGCCCUUUUAUCAACAUGCAGACACCAGCAAGCAACUUGCCAAAGGCCCCCUGCUCAGCCCAUGGGGAACACAGAGGGCCAAGCCUGGCCUUGGGCCAUUUGCUUCACUUCUCUGAGCCUCAGUUUCCUCAUCUGAGCAGUGAGCUAGCAAUCCCUCCUUACAGGAUGUUUUGAGGAGCCAGCAGGGGGCCAGGCAAGCAAUGAGUAUUCCAGGGGUGGCAAAGGACCCUGCGGCCUUGAAAACACAUUUAGGUUUCAGCCCAGACUUGCUGCCAGAAACAAGGGCAGCUAUUUCUUCUAGCUGGGCAGGAGGGCACCAAGGAUGGGCCCUCCAGGCAUGGGCACAGGCUUGAGAGCCAAAGCAGUGCCCGUCAACAUGGCCUCUUUCAUCUGAGCAUCAAAGCAAAUCACCAAAGUGGAACCAGUUUCCCUCAGCCUGGCAGCGCCUGCUGGCGGGUUGCCAAAGACAGGGAAAAGGAGCAGGAAUUCCUGGUGGCCACCUCGGCAGCCUGAUCAGGUGCACACCAAGACACACCCCCGAGGAGCAAUGUCCUCCAGAGACCCAAGAAGGCAGCACCCUGUGCUGGGAAGUAUGCAGGGUCAGAGUGAGUUCAGGCCUGGGUUCAAAUCCUGGCUCAGCCACUCUGUGGGGCCCUGGGCAGAUCAUUGCACCUUUCUGAGCCUCCGUGAUCUCACAUGUCCAGUGGAGAGAAUAAGGCUACUGUCACUGGCCUGGGCCUGCAGUCAGGAAGGUCUCACUACAAAGGCCCUUCCCUCCCCAUCCCAUGCGGAGUCUGAACUGAGCAGAGCCAAUCCCAAAGAGGAAAGGGGAAACGUGCAGGGCCGUCCCAACCCCCAAGUCACAGUAACUCACAGUGCCCUAGACUGGGGCUCUGGACAUCAGAGUUCCUCAGGAGACCUUAGAAAUCACCAUGCAGCAGGCUCCCUGCUGUCUACUCGCUAAGGCUACAAAUGGGUAAACUGAGACCCAAAGAGGGAAAGGGAAUUGGCCACACCGUACAGCAGUAGAUCAAUAACCUAGAGGCUCUGGCGCUAUCUCACUGUGUGGUCUUAGGCCCUCACUGACCUCAGUUUCCCCAUCUGUACAGGAAGAAUGGGCAUUCCAGGACUCAGUGCCCAAACCUGAAACUCUGGGGGGUGUUAUUGCCCCCAGGGAGCCCAAGGCUGGAAGGACCUGCAAAGGGGGCAUGAGCUCUUGGCAUCCCAGGUCUGCUGUCAUCAAAGAGCCAUGGGCUCAGCCCUGGGCUUGGUGCAGCUCCAGACGUCAGCCAGCUCUCUGAGUAGCUUCUGCUCCCCAGAGACCUGGAAGACCAAGGUCCCUGCCUCAUGCAUGGUCCCUGAGGGCUGAGGAGCACCCCUGCCCUGACCCUUAUAAGCACCAUGGUCCCUGUCUGCUCCUGCACCAGCCCACUGCCCACCACUGCCGCCCUGCUCCCUUCCCCAUCCUGGAUCCCGUGUGCUCCCUGCCAUAUCGGUACCCAGCCCCCAGUGCUGAGGGUCAGGGCCCACUAGCUCAGUAGCCCCCAUCUCACGCAAGCCCCCUCACCUCUGGACUGGGGGGCGAGGCCAGGGCUGCACAGGGCCUGGAGCAGCAGCAGCAGGCUGCAGAGCAUGAGGCUAGUGCCAGAGAGGACCCUCAUAGUUCUGGCAGCACGGGCAGCAGCCGGCACGGUUGUGGGACCAGUGGGGUCCAGGUCUUAUCAACCCCACUGCCCGCCCAGCCUUUGGGUCAGGUGGCCCCCAACUGACGACUGACGUGGGGGCAGCCCGCCCUGGCCCCCAGCCCCCCCAAAGGGCGGGGCUUGGGCUGAAUGGAGGUGUGUGUGCCCUGAGAGGGCGGGAGAGCCUGGCCCAGGCUUCAGAGGCCCCUCUGACCACAAGGGCUCCUUUGCUUGCAGAAGCAACUAGAGCGGCAGCUGGAAUUUGGGAAAUCUCAGGUGGGUGGGGGGUGGCUCUUCCAGGGGCUGGAGCCCGCGCUGCCUUGAAGCUCCACCCCAAGCCUAGGCAUACCUGAGUCCAAUGGCCCGGCCCAGCCCUGUCCUGCACCUUCAUCCCACACCCAAAUCCUUCCCCCACUCACAACCCCAAGUUUCUCAUUAAAUUCACUUCCCCUUCCCCAGCCUCACUGUGCCCUGCUCUCCGCACACGCCCUGCUCUCCAGCUACCCCUGGAUUCUCCUCGAAGGCCUCCAGGCCAUCACACAUGCAGGGCCAUCUGCCCAGAAUCCUUUCCUCUCACUAACUCUCUGCCUUGUAGAAUCUUUCAAGGUCAUAAUUAGGGCUAACAUGUACCUUCACUGUUAGUAUGGGCAGGGCAGUGGAGACCAUGGUUAAGAGCACAGACUUGGGAGCCAGGUUACCUGGGUUUGCUAUACCAGCAAACCACCUGUGUGACCAUGGGCAAGUGACUUCACCUCUCAUGUCUCAGAUUGCUCAUCUGGAAACUAGGGAUGGUAAUAGCGCCUCCUAGGGUUGAUUCAAGGAGCAAAGGAGUUAGAUGAGGUUUCUCAGUUAAUCCUCUUGACAACUUUUUAAAGCAGCUACUGUUAAAGAACAGAGAGGUAAAAUAACUUGUCUGAAGUUACACAGCUAAGAAGUGUUAUUGCCAGGAUAGAGCCCCAGGCCCGGCUCUCAGCCAUGCUGCUGUCUCAGUGUAGCUUGAUGUAGGUGGCUUCUCCCUGCCCAUCUCUUCCCCCUGUGGGUCCCUGCUUGGCCCACCUCACCUGUCAGCCAGUGGAUUCAACUCUGCAUCAGGCCCAGCACAGAGAAGGCAAAGAUAAAGCCUUCUAAACAAAGUAACAUCAGCAGGAACGAUCCCCUUCUUUGCAUUUGGGUCAAGUAGUUCAUGAGAUAGAGCAGAAAGAGCAUGGGCUUGGCUACCUGAGAGAUCCAGGUUCAAAGCCACUUCUGCUCCUAACUGGCUGUGUGACCUGGAGCUGGUGACUUAACCUCUCUGAGCCUCAGCUUGCCAUGGUGCAGUGGGAAUGGUCGUUCUUGAUCUGCCUGCCCCAUGUGAGGGGCAAGAGGGGGACAGAAGUGGAAAUGGAGUUAAAGGAUUGUCAUUGCUCCAGGAGGCAGAAUCCUAAGACUUGGGACCUAUGCACUUCACUCUGUGUAAAUUAUACCUCAAUAAAAGGAAAUGUACAGACAAAAAGCGACUGCUGGGUGCAGCAGACCCAACUCACCGCUACCACACUCUUUAGCAAUAAUUAUAACAAUCCCUUCCACCCUUGACAUGGCAGUUACUCAUUCUAUCACUCUAUCUCAUUUGCUCACCCAACAAACCUGUGAAGUCAGCAGAUUUGAGUCUCUUGGCCCAUUUGUCAGAUGGAGAAACUGAGGCCCAGAGAGGUUCACUGACUUACCCGAAGCCACCAGCCAGUUUAGGGGCAGAGCCAAGCCUAAAGCUCAGGCCUCACUCCCCUUUGCACCAGUGUUAGAGAAGGAGGAGGUUAAGAGCAUUGCCUUCUGACUUUUUCCCCUUAUAUUUCAUGUGUGCCUAAUUCACUGCCCUCCCCAAUUCCAAAAACCACUUGAAGCUGCUGAUUCCUUUUUUAACUACGAACCUGUUCCAUUUCCCUAUAAACCACCCAGGGUCACACAAGGGCCAUCCACGGUGACCAGCGGUGAGAAACGCAAUGCUGUCCUCGUGCCAUGCUGGAGGUGAACGAGGAGAACGUGAGCUGGGGUCUCCUCACCAACUGCUCCCCCCACCCCAACCCCCCUGACGGCCAGGGCUGUGUCCAGGGCUCAGGGCACAAGGCUCCGUUAGCUGGGCAGCAGCUGGCCCAUGAAACAGCCCUUUCAGCUCCACCUCUGAAUGGCAGUUCUAUGGGCUCCUCGGAAGAACACAGGCGCCUUCUCUGUGUCACUUCUCCGCUCAUUAGCAGAGCUGCAGAAAUACACUACAGGUAACUUUUCAGGAACAGAGAUGGGUCCCCCCCCGAACACCACCAGAAA
rnacentral:lncRNA from 1 species